rnacentral:rRNA from 1 species
GAACCGUGCGAACGUUGUUCGGAAUCACUGGGCUUAAAGGGCGCGUAGGCGGUUUGCCAAGUCGGGGUUGAAAUCUUUCGGCUCAACCGGAAAAGUGGCUUCGAUACUGGCAAGCUGGAGGGAGGUAGGGGCGGAUGGAACUUCCGGUGGAGCGGUGAAAUGUGUUGAUAUCGGAAGGAACGCCGGUGGCGAAAGCGAUCCGCUGGACCUCUUCUGACGCUGAGGCGCGAAAGCCAGGGGAGCAAACGGGAUUAGAUACCCCGGUAGUCCUGGCCCUAAACGAUGGGUACUGAGUAGUGGACUUGCAUGGGUUCACUGCUGAAGCAAAAGUGGUAAGUACCCCGCCUGGGGAGUAUGGUCGCAAGGCUGAA